UCUAUUCCAUUUGCCUCCUAAGAGGGAGGAUUCCCAAUUGGGUGAAAAAAUCGUCAGGGUCCAAUGUAAUCACAGUGGAAAUAUGCUAUCUCCAAACUAGCAGAGACCUUUUAAAAUUAAAGUAGAGGGAUCUGUCACUCAAACUUGCGCUAGUUUUGGCACAGCCUUGCUCUGACCCAUCAUCAUCAUGAAAGCCCGUGAAGGUGAAUGGCAACUACAUGUAGGAGAAAAAGUAGUAGCUACAAAGAUAUUCUCAUAGGUUUACGAGAGCUCAUUUUUGAUAAGGCACAUGGACAUCUGGAAGGGAAAAAUUCUUGUCACCCCUACAUCCUGGUUUUCAAGAAUCUCAAUUUAAUCAUGUAUCUGCGGAUAACACGCAGCGAAGAAGGACUCAAAGUUGCUGUCUCCACAAACCACCUUCCUGGGGUCAGGCACGCGCAUAUGAAGAUAUGUUAGGACUAGUCUGAAGGAAGGACUGUCCUUCUCAAAUACUCCUUCCCAUUCUGGGCAAGAGUUCAAGAACACUGCCUUCCUGACCCCACUAUCUUCUUAGGACUGAUUUUAGCCGACUCAUACCAGCUCGUUAGGCACAAUGGAAAUAUUUGCUGUUGAAACCAUCAAAUUUUAGAGGUGAGGGACAGAAAAACAGAGGACGGAAGGAGGGGACCAAAUCCCAUCUGUUACCUACCUACAUGCCCACCUACAGGUCCUUCUGUCUGCCUUUUGACCUUUCACUCACCUCGACCAACAGAACGGUUGUCUGGAUACCAAUGAGAAGGACUUUUUCAGUGUAAUAAUAAUUCCUAAUGUUGAGAGAACAAUUCUUCCAAAACUGCAAGCAGAGAUAUGACACUAAGAUGUCGCCAACAGAUCUUGUUACCAAAAGCAAAACCAAUGAAACAACAUCUGUCUCUUCUAGAGCAUUCAAUUCCCAAUUCAAUUCCAUUUACUCCAUCCUUAGAGUGGCGGACCCGCAGGGCACUUUUCAUCUAAUAGUGUUUCUAUGGAAACGCCAUUCUCAACCUGGAAGAUUCUACAACCCCUCACUUUGGCUUUAUCCACAUUGAGAGGAAGGUCUUAUAAAUCAGAAAUUGAGCCAUAAAUUUCGCCACAGACAAACAAGGAUUUUUCAAGGCUACAAGUUCACAAAUAAGAAACAAACAAAACAAAACCAAAGAGUCAAAAAAAUGUGUAUCCAGACACAGAAACAAAGUGUCUCUAUUAAGCAUCCAAUGAGAUCCGAAAGAUCAGUGAAAGGAAUCCAACAAGAGAAUGUGAAUGAAAAACCAAUUCACCUUGAGGGUCACCUCCCCUUACUGGUCAAAUACCAGAUGCGUCGCCCCUCGCAUGGUUUCUUCACCUGACCCCGCAGGCUCCAGAUCUGGUUGGCUGGUUGGCCCCAGUGACGAAACAUCAGCACGGCUGCAUCAGCACCGUUCACCAACUGUCUCUGCCUAUCUCCCGCUACGUUUUCCUCCUGCCGUGCCCUCCGUGCCCUCCAGACCCUGGCCCUUCCCAUCCCCCUCAGUCGUGGUCCAUAACCCUCAGGGGCAAACUUGCACCAGGCACAUCUCGGACUAUCCGCGUACAGGUAACAGACAUCAGUUAUCCUUGCCGGAAAGUCUGGAUUAAUUUACACCCUCGAGUGUUCCUGGAGGCAGAGCCUCCAUCCAGAGGAGCAGAACCAGCGUGGUGGCCUUUGACAGCCCCUCCUGUCUCCCUGACACAGUGCAAGCUAAAGGCCAGCGCUCUGAAGUUCUAAGCACAGGGACAACUUUCACUGUGCAGCUCGGGCUCGGAUGAAUGUCUCGUAAUGGCAACCAGUGCAUGCAAACCACUUCAGAGCAAUUUAUGUGAGCAUCUUGCCAUUGCAACAAGAUUUAAGCUUUUUGGGACCGUGCGCUAGGAAGGUCCGCUACAGCGUUAGGAGAAAGGAAGUCCUUCUCUCCGGGGUCUAUCUUACUUUCUUCUUAGUAGGACUUGGUUCUAGGGACCCAAGAGUCACACUGAGAAAAGCAACAUCAUUAACAUACAUACUUAAAAUCACAACUCCUACACCUUAUAACUUACAGUUAACAAAAUUGCAAUAGUGAACUUCAAAUAACACUUCUCGUUUGGGGUAAGUAUCUAGGAAAUAAGGGCUAACACUUCUGUAAAAACUAGGGGGACACAGUGAUUUAUGAAAUAUUCCAAGUGCAGAGGGAUCAUGUUCCCCCAUCUUUUUUUUUUUUUUUUCUAUCACAACGGGUUCAUCGUCCAUAUUUAGUUUACAUAUGUCAUUUAGAAUCCACUUACUGUUAGAUGCUGGAACAGCCACGCCCUCAUGAUAUUUGUGGCUACUUUGGGAAAGAUGCCACGCUUUUUGUGACGCUUUUUGUCCUUAUCUGGAUCAUCAUCGUCACCUGUGCUGGGGGAAGCUACACUGUUGUCCAAGCCAUCACCUGCAAACAUAGUGAAUCAAAUUUUGACUGAUGCUACCUUGACAUGCUUUAUGCAAAUAG